CAUGGCCUCAUAGCAGUAUUCGCAGACAAAAAACUGCACAGCUUUGAGUUCAAUACCUACAAAAUCUAAAACUCCUUGGACUAAACUUUGAAAAUAAUUGUUCCAGUGACAAAGCAACCAGAUUAUUUGGUUCAAUAUCUUUGCUUUUGCAAGAACUCAGUGAUUUUGACUAAGUUCCAUCAAUACUGUAAUUCUCAGAUUUUAUACUAGAAAUGUUAUUUGUGUGUGAAGCAAUUUCGUUUUCUAAUAAUCUUUUAAUAUUCCCAUUGUUCCUAUAGGAAAAAAAAAACCUUCAGCCAAAAACAUUCUAAAACAUCUUAAGUAGUCACAAUUACGUCAGGACUGACAAAAGAGGACCACAGUGGCUAAGAAACAUCCACAACUGAACUGAAAUAUUACAUCACAGCUAAACAAAUAUGUUAUUCUAUCUCCCAGGACCUACAACUCGCAAUCUGAUAUACGUACAAAACAGCCAAUUGUGGAAGAGAAUCUCUCCUAUUCAACUCAGAGACUUUCAAGAACAUGUGUCUGGAGAAUAUUUUAGAAACAUGAGACAUGACUGUACUUAAAAUAUGACAGUUUACUGUUAAGAAGAGAGAUCCAUAACCUUGGUCCUUUUUUUCCUGGAUGAAGUCAGGAAAAUGCCAGUCUAAGUCUUAUCAAACAAGUUGUAGAUGGUGAAUUAAGUUACCAUAAAUUUCUGUUUGGUGCUGGGAAAAAAGAAAAAGAUCCUGGAUGUUUGGAGGGGGUUUGUUUGUUUGUUUGUUUUCACCUCAAAAUGAUCAAAACUUGCUCUGGCGUGUCAUUUCUAGUCAAAGUUAGUGUUUUUGAAUGAUAAAUGUGAAGAAACUUGAGGU